AGGAAAGAGCUUCUCCGACCACUGAAACAACAAGGAAACCAGAGCAGGAAAAAGUUGCAGCCCCACUUCAGAAUGACGAACAUGCAAACGGUAAAAAGAAAAGGAGAAAGCUUCCCUGUUGCUUUGGAUUCAUUUCGACUUGUCUCGCCGAAAAAAAGCAGAAAAGACGGGACAAGGAGAAGAAAACCAUUGACAGAUACAUCCCACCAAAACUGGUUCAAUACGAACACAAAAAGGCAAAAGGAGGCGAAGCUUUCGUCAUCGAAGUUGACUGCAGACAUAUAAUACAGAAACCGCUUCUGUCACCCAUAAAAUAGACUGCCGGACCGGAUUGGGUGUAAAGAAAGGAAGGAAGACGCUGACUACCCCUUCCGGUAAAAGGCAGGCCUUUCCGUAAGAUACAAACAGGCUGACGCAGAAAGGAACCGUAAUAAUCUUAGCCGUACCGCAACAACGAUCAGACCUGCAUCUACACAAUCAUCAUCCUGCGAAUUUGUGAUCAUUGAAAGCGACCCAGACGCUUUCAAAUUCGACGAAAAUGAUCCAGACGCUUAAAGUUUGACGAUUUCGACUGUUUCUCCUACUAAAUUUUUAUGUCGACCGACUGCUUCCUAUAUAUGGUAGACCUAUACUGGUCACGUGGACAUGAAGUUAUCAAAGAUUUAAAUAAAUAAAACAAAACAUAUUCUUAAACUAUUCAAGUUUUUAUCACUUUGAUAUUAGUUUUAUUUGCAAUCUUUUAAUCAUAUUAAAACAAAUAUUUACUAAGUAAGCAGAAAUGUGUAUUUCAUUUGUAGAUUUUUUUUUUCAAGAAUAAAUAUCAUUCUUUCUUAUUCUCUUCAAAAAACUUUGUUUGACAUAAAAAUAAUUCAAAAUCCAUGCAUAUAAUUCUGACUAAGACAAUCGCCUUUAAUUAAAAAGUAUUUAAAAGAAUCGCGGAUCAUUAAAAACAAGAGGGCCAUGAAGGCCCUGUAUCGCUCACCUGACCUAUUGACCUAAAAUCAUCAAGAUUAACAUUCUGACCAAGUUUCAUUAAGAUAUGGUCAUAAAUGUGGCCUCUAAAGCGUUAAAUAGCUAUUCCUUUGAUUUGACCCUGUAACCUAGUUUUGACCCCACAUGACCAAGAUUCGAACUUGCCCUAAAGAUCACCAAGAUUAACAUUCUGACUAAGUUUUAUGAAGAUAUAGUCAUAAAUGUGGCCUCUAGAGUGUUAACAAGCUUUUCCUUUGAAUGACCUUGUGACCUAGUUUUUGACCCCACCUGACCCAGAUUUAAACUUGACCUAUAGAUAAUCAAGCUUAACAUUCUGAUCAAGUUUCAUUAAGAUAUGGUCAUAAAUGUGGCCUAUACAGUGUAAACUAGCUUUUCCUUUGAUUUGACCCUGUGACCUAGUUUUUGACCCCACAUGACCAAGAUUCAAACUUGACCUAAAGAUCAUCAAGAUUAACAUUCUGACUAAGAUUCAUGAAGAUACAUCAUAAAUGUGGCCUCUGGAGUGUUAACAAGCUUUUCCUUUGAAAUGACCUAGUGACCUAGUUUUUGAUCCCACCUGACCCAGAUUUAAACUUGACCUAAAGAUUAUUAAGAUUAACAUUCUGACUAAGUUUCAUGAAGAUACAGUCAUAAAUGUGGCCUCUAGAGUGUUAACAAGAUUUUCCUUUGAAAUGACCUAGUGACCUAGUUUUUGACCCCAUCUGACCCAGAUUUGAACUUGACCUAUAGAUAAUCAAGAUUAACAUUCUGACUAAGUUUCUUGAAGAUAUAUCAUAAAUGUGGCCUCUACAGUAUUAAAAAGUUUUUUCCUUUGAUUUGACCUGGUGACCUAGUUUUUGACCCCGGAUGACCCAAUAUCAAACUCGUCCAAGACUUUAUUGACGGUAACGUUCUGACCAAGUCUAAUUAAGAUUGGGCCAAAAUUGUGACCUCUAAAUUGUUAACAAGCUUUUCCUUUGAUUUGAUCUGGUGACCUAGUUUUUGACCCCAGGUGACCCAAUAUCAAACUCGUCCAAGAUUUUAUUGAGGGCAACAUUCUGACCAAGUUUCAUUAAGAUUGGGCCAAAUAUGUGACCUCUAGAGUGUUAACAAGCUUUUCCUUUGAUUUGACCUGGUGACCUAGUUUUUGACCCCAGAUGACCCAAUAUCAAACUCGUCCAAGAUUUUAUUGAGAGUAACAUUCUGACCAAGUUUCAUUAAGAUUGGGCCAAAAUUGUGACAUCUAGAUUGUUAACAGUCAAAUUGUUGACGACGACGACGCCGACGCCGACGGACGACGACGGACGACGGACACAGGGCGAUCACAAAAGCUCACUUUGAGCACUUUGUGCUCAGGUGAGCUAAAAAUAAUAUCCCUGUUAUACUAUGAUUUAUCAUAGUUAGAUAUGAUUAGAAGUUAGUAAAAAGAGACAUAAAAAAUAUAAAAGAAUCAUAAAAAUACCAAAAAAAAAUCAUUUUCAUCUACCGAUUCUUGUUAUUUUAAUGGCAUGAAAAGAUAUGAUACACAAAUCAAUAUCAUUUUCUUAAUGAAAUCAGACAUCGGCCAGUUAUGCUGCUUCAAACUGAUUUCUAACACAUCUUUAUUUUAUACAUUACACGUAGUUUUAUAUGCGCAGAGCAAUAACACGCGGAUAUGCAUUUUUUUACCAUUUUCGGCCGCUAGUACAAAUAAUGUCUUUAUCUAAUUACAUAAUUUUAUAGUGAUAUUUUGAAAACAUGUUAAAAUCAGACUUGUAAAAACUUUAAUAAGUAGGAUUAAGGUAAAUUUUUUUUUUUUAUUUUUGACGUUGCCCCUGUUCAUGUGACUCAGCUCAAACAUUUUAUGGCAUAUUUGCACUCUAGUUUACUGUUGUA